GGGGAUUUAGCACAGUGGUAGAGCACUUGCCUAGCAAGCACAAGGCCCUGGGUUCAGUCCCCAGCUCCG
rnacentral:tRNA from 1 species